rnacentral:lncRNA from 1 species
UGCCAAUCUUUUUUUUCUGCUUUUUCUCCCCAAAUCCCCCCAGUACAUAGUUGUAGAUUUUAUUUAAUUGUGGGUCCUUCUAGUUGUGGCAUGUGGGAUGCUGCCUCAGCAUGACCUGAUGAGCGGUGCCAUGUCCGCACCCAGGAUCCGAACCCGCAAAACCCUGGACCACCGAAGCGGAGCGCGAGAACUUAACCACUGGGCCACGGGUGAGAGCUUCGUGUUGGACACCCCCCACCGCCCUGCACUGCCUCUUCCCUAAUAGGCAGCCUAGCACAGCGCCUGGCACACAGCAGGUGCUCAUAAGUGUUUGUUGAUUAAACAUGCUUGCUGCACAUUGUCUCCUUUGAGCUUCACAACAACAGAGUCAGAGCUAUUAUCUCCACUUUAUAAACAAAGUAACUAAGGCCCAGAGAGGUUAAGUAACUUGCCCAGGGUCCCCGAGCUAGUGGGGUCAGAGGAAGGAAUUGAGCCUGCACACUGUUUCCUGGGUGCUGGCUGGGCAGCAGGGGCCGGGUCCUGGGCCUCUGUCCCAGGGCUGGGCCUCCAGGAGAUGUGGGUGGCCAGGCUGCUCUGGGGAUCAGGAGUGCAGCCUGACUUUCCUCCUUGGCGUCAGGCUUGCAUGGGGGCUGACCGGAGACUCCCAUUACCCUCUGUCCUCCCGGAGGCUCCCGCCCUGCCCUGGGGUGGUGUCUUUGUGACUCAGUGCUGGGCUCCAGUCCUGCCUUCUCAGGGCUAGACCCAGUGAUUCUGGAUCCCUGAUUCCGUCGUCACCCACCCGCUCCUCCCCAGCCUUCCGCCUGAGCCACCACUUCACACAACCUGGGCCAGUAACAGCUGUCCUUGCUGCCCCCUGACUGUGGACGUGUCCCGUCCCCACUGGCCAUGGCCUCUGCUCGGCCUCCAGCCCAGUGCUUCUUGCCAAGUGUUAACCUCCCCCUGUGUCAGAGGAGGACGAUUCUCCUGUCACCUUCCCACUCCCAGCGUCAGCCUGGGAAUUGGGGCGCGCUUCUGGGCGGGCGAGGCUGGAUAAACAUGUGGCCCAGCUGUGGUCUGCCUUCCCAUCAUGGGGUGUCUCGGGAGGUUUCUGAGGCUGGGGACCGGAAGGUGCAGGCUCCCUCCUUUGGACUUGCAGGCACUGACCCCAGGACCAAUCUGGCCGCUGCAGCUCGGCUCUUCCUUCUAGCUCUUUCCCACAGAACAUCCUGGCUUCAGGGAUUCCCAUCACCUCGGCCAGAGUUCAUGUGAAGUCCCCCGUCCUCUCCCUCCCCUAACCCCUGGAGGACAGCGAGGAGGACAGAGACCAGGAUCAUCCGGGCGAGCUGGACAAGGGAGCUAGGGUUCCUGUGACGGGAGUGUGGUGAGGUAGCAGGGAAUUGGCGGAGGUCAGCCUGCAGGUAGCCACAGUGUAGAUCCCGCAGUGGACGACAUCGUGGCUUCGGGGACAGUGAGAUGGCAGCAACAUCAUCACCAGAGAUCGCCAGCCCUCACCCAGUGCCUUGAGGAAGCAAUGCCCGGCCGGGAGACAAGCUGGCUCUACCCUGGGAUAGGGAGCAAGUACCGAUGAAAGGGCUGGGGGCCAGGCAGAGGAGUUCCAAGGAGCUGGAUGGGGUCCUUAGGAAAGGCCCCAAAGCUCUCCUCCUUCCUCCUCCCUCCUUCCCGACAGAUACAGCCUGAAAUGCCCAGGGUCUCCAGCCAGCCAGAGAGCUGGAGAAUAUGGCCAGGCUGGGCCCCCGGGGGCCUCACUCCACCGCAAAAGCAGCCCUGUGGUAUCAGCCAUGCCAAGAGCCACCUGCCAACUACCCCAGGAAGAUGGGGACGUGGUUCCUGGGCUGGGGCAGGGCAAGGUCGAACACCUAGGAAUCAAGGAAGGAAGGAGGGAGGGAUGGAAUGAUGGAGAGAGAGGGGUAGGAAGAAAAUAAAGAAGGAUGAAAGGAGAGAGGAGAGAGGGGAGAGGAGAGGAGAAGGGAUGGGGCCAUGGAUAACCUCCCACCUGGCGGAGGUCCCUGGGCUGAGAGGCCCCCAGGUGCGCAUGCGCUGCUCUUCAAUGGUAUUUAUCGCCCUCCCACGUGUACUCAUUUAUCUCCUGGCUCUGGCCCCAGGUCCAGCUGGGAUGACAGCCCUGUGCCCGCAACCCCGUUGCCUGGGCAACGCCCCUUUGUUGGGCAGGAGCAUCUGAAAAUGUCAGAUGUUUUCAGCAGGUCAGACCUGGGUCCUUCCCGUCUUUCCCCUUCUCCGUUUGCAGUUCCAGUUGCCUCUGCCCAAGUUGCAAACUUCCUCUGUCUCCAUGGGGAUAGAGAAGGGCUGUCUCUCUUUUUCCGUCCCAAACAUCUGUCUCUAUAAACAGUUGUGUUCGGGGCGCCUCCUCCUCCUGGGCCCGGGCUUGGGGAGGAAGUGUCUUGUUUAUCUGGAGGGGGUGGGUUUCCUUGCUCCUCUGGGGGUUGGCCGUGUGGGAUGGCUGCAGCCCUGGACUCUGGGAGCCCCUGGCUGGCGGCCAGCGCUGGCUGUUCCUCCGGGGCCAGUGCCGGCUGGGAAGGGCGGCUGCUCUGCACAGUCGUCUGGCAGACUGCGGCUCGCUUUGCUAGCUGGGUUGCGUUAGACAGGUUACUUAACCUUUCUGAGCCUCUGCUCCAUCCUCUGUAAAGAGGAGGUGCUAAUAGUGUCUCCCUCAGGGAUUUUGUUGAGGGGGUGAUGAGAUGAUCUUCACAAAGCUGUGGGGCUACCUCCAGAGGCUCUUGUAUUUCACACUCCAGGGCCUCUCUCCGUAAGUGACUACUAUCUUCAGCCUCAUUCAGGAGAAUGUCGAGACUCAGGGAGGUGAAUUGGCCCAGAGUUAUAUGGGCGUUCAGCAGCAGGGACAGGAUUUCACCCCAGGAUGCAAGCCCAGACAUCUUCUAAUCCACCAGGACCUCUGUCGGAAGCCCAGGUCCUCAGUUUGCAGGCCGAAGAGCUUGGAGCAAGUGCCCUCCUCCCCAGCUUGAAACUUCGACUUGUUUCAGGGAAGAGGGUGGGACGAGAUGAGAAGUGAGUGGGGUUUUGCUGAGAGCCAGGGACUGGAAUGCACGAUAUAUAGGCAAGAAGUCAGGGACAGGGCCCCUGAUGACUCAGAUCUGCUUUCCCUGCCUGGUGGAAAUGGGAAUUGGGCCACGGGCGAGAAGGUGGGCCUGGCCCAGGCCCAGCCCCGGCUCGGCCACCUCGGAGAGCCUAUCCUGGGCCCAUGUGGCCUGGGCGCCAGCAUCACUCCCAUCCACCUCACCAACCUCACUCCCAACUCCAAGUCCAGCACCUUUUCCCGUGUCCGCAACCCAGUGUGGUGCACAGAAUGAGAUCAAUUACCCUGUUUCUAGACAACCAAGGAGACACCUCGCGCACAAUCAAGUCAAUGGCCGAGUGAUGGCUUGGGCUUCAGAGCAGGAAGAGUUUGAACCCAGCUCGAUUAAGUACUGGCUGACCUAGGGACACACACACUGAAGUGUUUCGGGGGAAAGAGCCCUCAUGUCUGCAACUUACAUUCAAAUGUCCUGCGAAGAAAAUGAAGAGAGAAAGGGGAAAGAGAAAAUAACAUACAAACGUGGACGAAUCCUGCCCCUGGGGAACGUGAGUCUUCAGACCUUCCUGUCCUCCUCCCCUGACGCCCUCCAGUUUCCCGACAUUGCGCUUCAAACGUGUCACCCAGAACAGUGCCCACGGCUGCCCACAAAGGACUGGAGACGGCUCCAUCCCGAUGGGGACCAGGGACGCGGCGGCUUCCUCAUGUCCCAUGGAAUCCAAGCGCAGCCAACGCCUCCGCGUCUUUCCUCCUCCGCCCCCAGUUCUGGAGCGCCUGGGCAUCAGAUCGAGGAUUCCGUAUUUAAUCCUAUUCAGUUCCCUCUGUGUCUUUCAACCUCUUGUUCUACCUAGGCUGUCACCAUUUUUGAAUCCAGAUAAGUUAGAUUACACCCUAGUUUUGUUUUGUCUGAAAAUCUGGUCAUCUGCUUUCGUGGUCUUCACUUCAGUCCUUGAUGAAAAUGUUGCACACGACUUGGGCCAGGCCAGAGGCCGUGGCGCCUCUCCGGAGACUGACCUCCAGAUGGGCAUUGCUCACUCAUCGAGAGACUUUUGUCUUGUUUCUAGUAACUCUUUCUAGCUGCUACAACCUAAUUGUACUAUUUCCUAGGCUACUUUUUCCAUGUCUUCCAUGAGGUUAUCACAGAAAGUCAGAUGUUUUGAUGGAAUCAAGGUGUUCCAUAUCCACAGCAUUUCUAUGGCCUGACAACCCAACCCAAGAAGAAAGGACUCCCUUUGGCCUGCGUUGCUAAUAGUAAGCUUUUAAUUUUUUUAUGCUUGAAAAAAGGAUAGAAAGUAUUCAUUUUAUUAAAAUUCCAAAAUACAGAUAGAUGAAAAGGAAUUUUAAAGCACUCUAAGUCCCCCCCUGCAUAAACGAGCACUUUAAACAUUUUGGUAUAUAUUUCUACAAGUUUCUAAAAACAUCUAAUAAAUAAACAAAAACAUCUAAAAGCGCAUAUGCCAAAAACCUCAUAACAAUGCAACCAGAUCUAAAUACUCUUUUGUCAUCUGCUUUUUUCACUCACUAAUAUUUCGUGAAUAUCUUCACAUAUGAAUAAAAGUACCACGACAUAAACUAUUUUUAUGGGCUGUGUAGUAUUCCAUUAUAAGGACAUAGACUAUUCAACAGAUCCCACAUAACUGGAUUCAGUUUUUUUGCCUUUAUAAACAUUGUUGUAUUUACCCGUUAUGAACACAUCCGACAGCUUCCCUGAAAUUACUUCCAAUGUUAGAGUCUGUCUUUUCUGAGUAGCCCUGGAUCCCCAGACUUCUUUAUCUCUACUUCUCUGGUAAACAUAUUUUCCAUUACAAUCAUUAUAUACUGUCAUCUCCCUGCUUGUAGUUGCUAAGCUCCUUUAGGGAACCGUCCACCCCAAUUCAAGAUUUCACCCCUAAUGCCUAACACAGUCGCUUGCACCGAGAGAUACUCCGUAAGCGUUUGUUGACGAAGGGCAUGAAUAAAGGAAUUUGUUUAAUGAUUCAGUCCAGAGUUGCCCUGGUGAUUACUGUCAUCCUCACUGGGUUCCCGUUUCUCAAGUCUGGUUUCUGCCCCACAGGGGCCUGGUUUGCCC